rnacentral:rRNA from 1 species
UACCGGGGCUAAACAUAUUACCGAAGCUGUGGAUUGUCCUUUGGACAAUGGUAGGAGAGCGUUCUAAGGGCGUUGAAGCAUGAUCGUAAGGACAUGUGGAGCGCUUAGAAGUGAGAAUGCCGGUGUGAGUAGCGAAAGACGGGUGAGAAUCCCGUCCACCGAUUGACUAAGGUUUCCAGAGGAAGGCUCGUCCGCUCUGGGUUAGUCGGGUCCUAAGCUGAGGCCGACAGGCGUAGGCGAUGGAUAACAGGUUGAUAUUCCUGUACCACCUAUAAUCGUUUUAAUCGAUGGGGGGACGCAGUAGGAUAGGCGAAGCGUGCGAUUGGAUUGCACGUCUAAGCAGUAAGGCUGAGUAUUAGGCAAAUCCGGUACUCGUUAAGGCUGAGCUGUGAUGGGGAGAAGACAUUGUGUCUUCGAGUCGUUGAUUUCACACUGCCGAGAAAAGCCUCUAGAUAGAAAAUAGGUGCCCGUACCGCAAACCGACACAGGUAGUCAAGAUGAGAAUUCUAAGGUGAGCGAGCGAACUCUCGUUAAGGAACUCGGCAAAAUGACCCCGUAACUUCGGGAGAAGGGGUGCUCUUUAGGGUUAACGCCCAGAAGAGCCGCAGUGAAUAGGCCCAAGCGACUGUUUAUCAAAAACACAGGUCUCUGCUAAACCGUAAGGUGAUGUAUAGGGGCUGACGCCUGCCCGGUGCUGGAAGGUUAAGAGGAGUGGUUAGCUUCUGCGAAGCUACGAAUCGAAGCCCCAGUAAACGGCGGCCGUAACUAUAACGGUCCUAAGGUAGCGAAAUUCCUUGUCGGGUAAGUUCCGACCCGCACGAAAGGCGUAACGAUUU